GUGCCAGCAGCCGCGGUAAGACAGAGGUGCCGAGCGUUAGGCGGAAUCACUGGGCUUAAAGCGUGUGUAGGCGGACCGUUAAGUACCUUGUGAAAUCCCACGGCUCAACCGUGGAACGGCUGGGUAUACUGGCGGUCUUGGGCCACUCAGGGGCGAGCGGAACAAGUGGUGGAGCGGUGAAAUGCGUAGAUAUCACUUGGAACGCCGACGGUGAAAACAGCUCGCUGGGAGUGUGCCGACGCUGAGACACGAAAGCCAGGGGAGCGAACGGGAUUAGAUACCCCCGUAGUCC
rnacentral:rRNA from 1 species